rnacentral:rRNA from 1 species
ACCUUCGGGUUAGUGGCGGACGGGUGAGUAACGCGUGAGCAUCUGCCCUCAGGAGGGGGAUAACGGUUGGAAACGACCGCUAAUACCCCAUAUGCCGAUAGGUGAAAUGAAUUUCGCCUGAGGAUGAGCUCGCGUCUGAUUAGCUUGUUGGUGAGGUAAUGGCUCACCAAGGCUUCGAUCAGUAGCUGGUCUGAGAGGAUGAUCAGCCACACUGGGACUGAGACACGGCCCAGACUCCUACGGGAGGCAGCAGUGGGGAAUUUUCCGCAAUGGGCGAAAGCCUGACGGAGCAACGCCGCGUGAGGGACGAAGGCCUCUGGGCUGUAAACCUCUUUUCUCAAGGAAGAAGAUAUGACGGUACUUGAGGAAUAAGCCACGGCUAAUUCCGUGCCAGCAGCCGCGGUAAUACGGGAGUGGCAAGCGUUAUCCGGAAUUAUUGGGCGUAAAGCGUCCGCAGGCGGCCUUUCAAGUCUGCUGUUAAAGCGUGGAGCUUAACUCCAUCAUGGCAGUGGAAACUGAUCGGCUUGAGUAUGGUAGGGGCAGAGGGAAUUCCCGGUGUAGCGGUGAAAUGCGUAGAUAUCGGGAAGAACACCAGUGGCGAAGGCGCUCUGCUGGGCCAUUACUGACGCUCAUGGACGAAAGCCAGGGGAGCGAAAGGGAUUAGAUACCCCUGUAGUCCUGGCCGUAAACGAUGAACACUAGGUGUCGGGGGAAUCGACCCCUUCGGUGUCGUAGCUAACGCGUUAAGUGUUCCGCCUGGGGAGUACGCACGCAAGUGUGAAACUCAAAGGAAUUGACGGGGGCCCGCACAAGCGGUGGAGUAUGUGGUUUAAUUCGAUGCAACGCGAAGAACCUUACCAGGGUUUGACAUCCUGAGAACCUCUUAGAAAUUUGAGGGUGCCUUCGGGAAUUCAGUGACAGGUGGUGCAUGGCUGUCGUCAGCUCGUGUCGUGAGAUGUUGGGUUAAGUCCCGCAACGAGCGCAACCCACGUUUUUAGUUGCCAGCAUUUAGUUGGGCACUCUAGAAAGACCGCCGGUGAUAAACCGGAGGAAGGUGUGGAUGACGUCAAGUCAUCAUGCCCCUUACACCCUGGGCUACACACGUACUACAAUGCUACGGACAAAGGGCAGCAAACUCGCGAGAGCUAGCAAAUCCCAUAAACCGUGGCUCAGUUCAGAUCGUAGGCUGCAACUCGCCUACGUGAAGUAGGAAUCGCUAGUAAUCGCAGGUCAGCAUACUGCGGUGAAUACGUUCCCGGGCCUUGUACACACCGCCCGUCACACCAUGGAAGUUGGCCAUGCCCGAAGUCGUUACUCCAACCCUUGUGGAGGAGGACGCCGAAGGUGGGGCUAAUGACUGGGGUGAAGUCGUAACAAGGUAGCCGUACCGGAAGGUGCGGCUG